GGGGAGAGUGGUUGGAAUCGCUGGAUGUCGUAUGUUCAGGCCCCUGAUUACACCACCCAAGAUCCAGCACAUAAUUCUGGACCGCAAGAAAACCGGGCCUCUCAACUACAUACAGAUGGAAACUUGGUUAAUGGAAGGGAACAAUUUGGGAACUUUGUGCCAGCUGAAGACCGAGUAACUGAUUUACAUACAUGUAUGAUGUUCAUUAUUAAUUUGUUAUUAUCUACUUACCAUAUUUGUGAAUAAAAACUUAUGUCUUGGUCGACCUAUCAAAUAGAUGAUAAUUUGAUUAAUGAAAGGGAACAAGUUGGCAACUUUGUGCCAGAUGAAGACCAUGCCACUGGUGUACAUGCAGGUAUCAGUCGUCAUUGCUUAUUCUUAAGCAAAUCUUAUGUUGUCAAACAUUAUGAGUCCAGCCAUUAUACUGCUAUUUAUCUUCGAUAUUGUAGAUGAUAAUGAGGAUAACCAAGAUGAGGAUCUUGGUGACAAUGAGGUGAAUGCAACACAAUCCAGGAAAUUUGUUAGUGCGAGGGAGUACUACUGCUUCAAGCUACAGGUCAGGAAGAAGCUUUUUAACAUCAUCUUGUUCGGUGGGCGCCUUUUCCAACAGUGGGCUGUUGACAUGUAUAUCAACAUUGAGACUAUGAGGCUGGACUGGUACUCAAAGCCAGAAAAUCAAAAGGUUAUAUGAGGCUGGAUGCAUAUAAAAAGAUAUUCUCUCUGUUAUAAUAUUAUACUACCACGUGUUUCAGCUACCGAGCGAUGACGAAUCAAGUGAAAUAUUGAACAAUAAUGAAGUGGAGGAAAGUAAUUGCACGGAGAGCUCAGAAUAUACACCUAUUCUUGAUGAAAACAUAGCAAACAGAGAGGCCAAAUAUUCUGAACAUACACAGGUGGCGACCCUUUUCCAACUAUUUCUUCCAAAAUCAUUCUAAUUAUAUUAUAUCCUACAUAUGGGUAAUUCUUUUAAUAUUGUCCUCAGAAAUUAACCCACAACGAAACAAGUCAACAAAUGGUGGUAACUGAGGACGAGGAAUUGGCACAAACACCCGGCACGGAAGGGCUUCAAACUAUAGAGGACAAGCUAACAAUGCCCAUGCAUAUAAACAAACAUAUACGACGGCAUAACAAGCCUAAGAUAGCACGAGACUAUGUUGUUUCUCCACAAGGCACAGAACGAAACCUUCAAUGUCCUUGUACUGCUACAUUAUUGUUUUUGUGUUCAUUAUCAUUAAAUGUUAUCAUGGCCAUCAUGACAGAUUAUGCCUGCACUGGCGAUGAUUGGUCCGUUAUAAAAAAUAUCAUAUCCGAAACCAGCAAAGAAAGAAAUUUAGUGAGCAUCGGCGACGCAUUUCUGAAAAAAAGACAUUUACUAUCUCUUCUAACUCCCAGAGAAUGGGUUGGCGACGAAGUAAGUAUAUUAUUAUUAUUAUUAUCGCAUUAGGACAGGAAGAUACUAUUUGAUUAUGAGUAUGUGUCAUCUAAUAUACUAUGUAUACUUUUAAUUAUAGGUCAUAAAUACGUACAUAAAUUGCAUGACUGCUACGGAGCAUCUACAAGUAAGGUCAGGUGGAACCGUGUUCUUAGAGAAUGCAUGCAUCUCUAAGAUGAUAAAGAUCGGUAGCUAUCUGCCAUCAAAUGACACGGAUGCUGAACCAGCACGGGUAUUAAACAGAGCCAAAGCGUAUUUGGAAAAUGAUAUGAUAUACAUUCCAAUAAACAUGGACGACGUUCACUGGUACCUAUGUAUUAUAAAUGCCAGAAAACAAUGUGUUCAAGUGCUCGACUCGCUAGGCCCAUGCAUGAACUGCAAACAGGGGCGGAUCCAGCCCAGCCCAGCGCCCCGGCCCCCUUCGUGGACUACAGUACUUUUGCUAUAGUAUUUGCUACAGUAUACGA